rnacentral:rRNA from 1 species
AACGAACGCUGGCGGCGUGGAUAAGACAUGCAAGUCGAACGCUCAUUCCGGGGUAGCAAUAUUCCGGGGUGGGAGUGGCGCAAGGGUGCGUAACACGUGGGUCAUUUGCCGCAAAGCCGGGAACAACUCGUUGAAAGACGAGCUAAUACCCGAUGUGCUCCUAACGGAGGAAAGCAGGGGACCGAAAGGCCUUGCACUUUGCGAUAAGCCCGCGGCCUAUCAGCUAGUUGGCGGGGUAAAAGCCCACCAAGGCUAAGACGGGUAGCUGGUCUAAGAGGACGACCAGCCACACUGGAACUGAGACACGGUCCAGACACCUACGGGUGGCAGCAGUCGAGAAUUUUUCACAAUGGGCGAAAGCCUGAUGGAGCGACGCCGCGUGGGGGAUGAAGGGCUUCGGCUCGUAAACCCCUGUCAUUUGCGAACAAGGGCGCCAACCUAACACGUUGUCGCUUGAUAGUAGCAGAAGAGGAAGGGACGGCUAAACUCUGUGCCAGCAGCCGCGGUAAU